AAUUUCAAUUCCCUUAUCCCUCUGCUCCAUGCCCCAUCAAUCUCCGAUACCAGCGACUCCUACGCAGAAUAAUCCUAAUUCUGAAACCCUAGUUUUAUGGAGGAAGAUGAUGUAGAAGUUCUAUCAAUCUCCAAUACUAGCUACUUCGACGAAUACUGCAACGAAAACGGGCGUCGCACGACCUGCUAGCUGUUGUGUGUGAGCAAAACUCACAGAACAUGAAUGCUCUUUAUAGGAUAUGCAAGAUUUAAUCAACAAAAUAAACAAAUAUAUAGUCGCUCCACUUCCAACCAUGUAUUCUGGUGCAUUUCGAGGGCUUGUUAAAAGCAUGCUUCGGAAAAAUCCAUAAACAAGACCAAGUGCUGCAGAUUUGCUCAAACAUUCACAUCUUCAACCAUACAUACGUAAUCUCCAUGUAAACAUCAACAACCCAAAACUCCAUGCUUAUCUAGUCCGGCGGUCUGACUACAACUAUGAAAAGAAAACAAUAUCCGUUGAACCCAAAACCGAGCCUCUUUUGGAGGUAAAUGCAAAAAAAAAAAAAUGCACAGACGGUUUGAAUGUGGCAGGAGGCUCUCAAGGUGCCAGCUGCUGCAAAGUUGUAUAAUAAGGCUAAUGAGAUUUUAGGCUGAGGUUUAAUGGUUUAUUCAGUUAUAGUAUUUUGAUAUUUUUAGAGUUUAGGUCAGUUAAAUGUUUCUGUUUAUUAUUUAGUUGUUUUAAAUUUGAACAAAAGAACUUGUGUUAGAUAAUAAGUUAACAAAAAGUUGUAUUUGCUUGAA